CGUGGAGCAUGCCUGUUUGAGUGUCAUGA
rnacentral:rRNA from 1 species